UACAGAGGGUGCAAGCGUUAAUCGGAAUUACUGGGCGUAAAGCGCGCGUAGGCCGUCGAGUAAGUCGGAUGUGAAAUCCCCGGGCUUAACCUGGGAAUUGCAUUCGAUACUGCUUGACUAGAGUGUGGAAGAGGGAAGCGGAAUUUCCGGUGUAGCGGUGAAAUGCGUAGAUAUCGGAAGGAACACCAGUGGCGAAGGCGGCUUCCUGGUCCAACACUGAAGCUGAGGCGCGAAAGCGUCGGGUCUGAACAGG
rnacentral:rRNA from 1 species